rnacentral:rRNA from 1 species
AAAGAGCUUGUAGGCGGCUUGUCGCGUCGAUCGUGAAAACUUGGGGCUCAACCCCAAGCUUGCGGUCGAUACGGGCAGGCUUGAGUACUUCAGGGGAAACUGGAAUUCCUGGUGUAGCGGUAAAAUGCGCAGAUAUCAGGAGGAACACCGGUGGCGAAGGCGGGUCUCUGGGAAGUAACUGACGCUGAGAAGCGAAAGCGUGGGUAGCGAACAGGAUUAGAUACCCUGGUAGUCCACGCCGUAAACGGUGGGUACUAGGUGUGGGUUUCCUUCCACGGGAUCCGUGCCGUAGCUAACGCAUUAAGUACCCCGCCUGGGGAGUACGGCCGCAAGGGUUAAAACUCAAAGGAAUUGACGGGGGCCCGCACAAGCGGCGGAGCAUGUGGAUUAAUUCGAUGCAACGCGAAGAACCUUACCUGGGUUUGACAUACACCGGAAACCUGCAGAGAUGUAGGCCCCCUUGUGGUCGGUGUACAGGUGGUGCAUGGCUGUCGUCAGCUCGUGUCGUGAGAUGUUGGGUUAAGUCCCGCAACGAGCGCAACCCUUAUCUUAUGUUGCCAGCGCGUAAUGGCGGGGACUCGUGAGAGACUGCCGGGGUCAACUCGGAGGAAGGUGGGGACGACGUCAAGUCAUCAUGCCCCUUAUGUCCAGGGCUUCACACAUGCUACAAUGGCCGGUGCAGAGGGCUGCGAUACCGUGAGGUGGAGCGAAUCCCUUAAAGCCGGUCUCAGUUCGGAUCGGGGUCUGCAACUCGACCCCGUGAAGUUGGAGUCGCUAG